AGUGAACGCUGGCGGUAGGCCUAACACAUGCAAGUCGAACGGCAGCACAGUAAGAGCUUGCUCUUACGGGUGGCGAGUGGCGUACGGGUGAGGAAUACAUCGGAAUCUACUUUUUCGUGGGGGAUAACGUAGGGAAACUUACGCUAAUACCGCAUACGACCUACGGGUGAAAGCAGGGGAUCUUCGGACCUUGCGCGAUUGAAUGCGCCGAUGUCGGAUUAGCUAGUUGGCGGGGUAAAGGCCCACCAAGGCGACGAUCCGUAGCUGGUCUGAGAGGAUGAACAGCCACACGGGAGCUGAGACACGGGCCAGACUCCGACGGGAGGCAGCAGUGGGGAAUAUUGGACAAUGGGCGCAAGCCUGAUCCAGCCAUACCGCGUGGGUGAAGAAGGCCUUCGGGUUGUAAAGCCCUUUUGUUGGGAAAGAAAAGCAGCAGGUUAAGACCCCGCUGUUCUGACGGUACCCAAAGAAUAAGCACCGGCUAACUUCGG
rnacentral:rRNA from 1 species